AACGAUGAAGUGGAGCUUGCUCCACGGAUUAGUGGCGAACGGGCGAGGAACACGUGAGAAACCUGCCUCGGAAUUUUGGGGAUAAACAAAUGGAAAACGUUUGCUAAUACCAAAUAACGUCGGAGAGUCACAUGACUUUCUGACGAAAGGAAUUCCGAUUCGAGAGGGUCUCGCGGCCUAUCAGCUUGUUGGCGGGGUAAAUGGCCCACCAAGGCAACGACGGGUAGCUGGUCUGAGAGGAUGGUCAGCCACACUGGGACUGAGACACGGCCCAGACUCC
rnacentral:rRNA from 1 species